rnacentral:rRNA from 1 species
GAUGAACGCUGGCGGCGUGCCUAAUACAUGCAAGUCGAGCGAACGGACGAGAAGCUUGCUUCUCUGAUGUUAGCGGCGGACGGGUGAGUAACACGUGGAUAACCUACCUAUAAGACUGGGAUAACUUCGGGAAACCGGAGCUAAUACCGGAUAAUAUUUUGAACCGCAUGGUUCAAAAGUGAAAGACGGUCUUGCUGUCACUUAUAGAUGGAUCCGCGCUGCAUUAGCUAGUUGGUAAGGUAACGGCUUACCAAGGCAACGAUGCAUAGCCGACCUGAGAGGGUGAUCGGCCACACUGGAACUGAGACACGGUCCAGACUCCUACGGGAGGCAGCAGUAGGGAAUCUUCCGCAAUGGGCGAAAGCCUGACGGAGCAACGCCGCGUGAGUGAUGAAGGUCUUCGGAUCGUAAGACUCUGUUAUUAGGGAAGAACAUAUGUGUAAGUAACUGUGCACAUCUUGACGGUACCUAAUCAGAAAGCCACGGCUAACUACGUGCCAGCAGCCGCGGUAAUACGUAGGUGGCAAGCGUUAUCCGGAAUUAUUGGGCGUAAAGCGCGCGUAGGCGGUUUUUUAAGUCUGAUGUGAAAGCCCACGGCUCAACCGUGGAGGGUCAUUGGAAACUGGAAAACUUGAGUGCAGAAGAGGAAAGUGGAAUUCCAUGUGUAGCGGUGAAAUGCGCAGAGAUAUGGAGGAACACCAGUGGCGAAGGCGACUUUCUGGUCUGUAAUUGACGCUGAUGUGCGAAAGCGUGGGGAUCAAACAGGAUUAGAUACCCUGGUAGUCCACGCCGUAAACGAUGAGUGCUAAGUGUUAGGGGGUUUCCGCCCCUUAGUGCUGCAGCUAACGCAUUAAGCACUCCGCCUGGGGAGUACGACCGCAAGGUUGAAACUCAAAGGAAUUGACGGGGACCCGCACAAGCGGUGGAGCAUGUGGUUUAAUUCGAAGCAACGCGAAGAACCUUACCAAAUCUUGACAUCCUUUGACAACUCUAGAGAUAGAGCUUUCCCCUUCGGGGGACAAAGUGACAGGUGGUGCAUGGUUGUCGUCAGCUCGUGUCGUGAGAUGUUGGGUUAAGUCCCGCAACGAGCGCAACCCUUAAGCUUAGUUGCCAUCAUUAAGUUGGGCACUCUAAGUUGACUGCCGGUGACAAACCGGAGGAAGGUGGGGAUGACGUCAAAUCAUCAUGCCCCUUAUGAUUUGGGCUACACACGUGCUACAAUGGACAAUACAAAGGGCAGCGAAACCGCGAGGUCAAGCAAAUCCCAUAAAGUUGUUCUCAGUUCGGAUUGUAGCCUGCAACUCGACUACAUGAAGCUGGAAUCGCUAGUAAUCGUAGAUCAGCAUGCUACGGUGAAUACGUUCCCGGGUCU